UUUUUUUGGAACGCGUGAAUCACGAUGUGAGUCAUGUGUCCAAACGGGGAAUUACCAGUCCCCUGGGGCCCUUUGAUUGGGUCUGCUGGAUGGUUGGGAUUUCUCUCUAAGGAUUAGCCCUCUGACUCCCUGGCCUGUAACUCUGCAGUGAGAUCGCCUCGAUGAUAGGGGAGUAUAAGCCAAUUUUGUUUUGGGGGGGGGAAUGGUUUCAACUUUGUGUUGUUAUUCUCUAAGACUUCUUAGAAGUCUGGAUUUCCUGAACUACAAAUGCCCUAAACUAAACUGUUGUUAUGGUCUGUCCUCUCUCGAGGUUAUGGCGAAGGUGACCACAGAUGGUAUCUAGAUGCAUGGAAGAUAAUUUGGCCGAGAACAGAACACUGUGAACCUCAACACCCCAUCUAAACCGCCUGAAAAUGGAGUGCGACAUGAGUCCAUGUAGAGUGAGCAUGGAGAGAGAUCCAGUCCAAACUUCUCUCAUGCUGCUGGUGUACCGGUAGGAAAAUGGACAAAGACAUAAUGGACUGUAAGGUGAGAGGGCCAUUAUCAAGGGCCAUCCACUUUGAAUAUGUGCCAUUAAAAGGACAAACUGAAACUACCUGAAGAAGAACACAAAGAAAUGCCAGGAAAGGAAGGAUGAGUGCAGGGGAGUAUGGGUGAGUGGGUAUGUCGAAAGGAGUGGGUGUAUGGAAAGCGAAUCAGCUAAUUGGGCAGAUUUGUUGCCAUUCCGAUUGGGCUGCACGACGAGUCGACCAGUGCAUGCACCUGUGUUGUAUCAAUGUGCCUGCUGACUUGAAGUGCUUCCUACUGAGCAGAACAAAGCUGCAGCAGAGCCAGGAGCUGUGCGUGCCCAAUUUGACUGGAGCGUGUAGCGAGAUUUGGCCUUCCAAUUUAGCUACUGUCAUGGAGUUUGCUAAAUAUUUUCAUAAAGAAGCUGAUAAAACACACAGUGCAAAAUGAAGGUGACUUACAAAGAUGAGGACCAAGAGCAAGAGACGGAGUGCGGUGAUGCAGUGUCCACAACUAAAGAAUCCAUGUGGAGUCUGAAAAGACACUUAUCCAAAAAGCAUGAUGGUGUGCUUACCAUGUGCACAUGCUAAAAGAAAGGAACGAGGUGGGUAUAUAGAGAAGUGUAUCAUUGUAGCAAAGUAUUUAUAGACAAACAUCUGAUCUCUUCAAAGAUGUUGUUCUAUUAUCUACAAUAGGGCAUAUUCAAGGUGCCUUCCAUUUUGAUUGGGUUAUUUUGUCUUAAAACAUUCAGGCCUACCUAUUGACAAAAAAACGAAACAACUCCGCAUCUCUGCCCAACCUGGCAAGAGUGGCCAAAAGGGUGCUUAGCAUUCCCAGUGGCUCUGAAAGUGUGGAGAGAAUAUUGUCUGCUGCUGGCCGGCUCCCCAGGCACCAUCGCAUUUGCCUGAAACAAUAGACUGGCCAAACUCCUGUUUCUAAAAAUAAGUCAUUUUUUGUUUAAUUUGUAUAUAAUUCUAAGUAAGUCGCAGCCUAUAUACACAAUUUAGAGACUAUAAUGAUUUAAUACAACACAAUGUUGUUUUAAUGCUGAGUGCUUUAUGUCCCUACCAGCCUAAUGUGUCACACUUGCAAAUGCUUCACAAUGUAUUUCUUUGUAGGGUAUAGCCUUGAAAUAACAUAGCCUAAAUAAUAAAUGUGCCUUCCUUCUUAGGCUCCCUGACUGGAUCCUGACCUAUUUAGAGUGUUUAUAUGCUGUUUAAUAUGACAUGUAGCCUAUUUGAAAUUAUG